rnacentral:rRNA from 1 species
GAGUUUGAUCCUGGCUCAGGAUGAACGCUGGCGGCGCGCCUAACACAUGCAAGUCGAACGGCACCCCUCUCCGGAGGGAAGCGAGUGGCGAACGGCUGAGUAACACGUGGAGAACCUGCCCCCUCCCCCGGGAUAGCCGCCCGAAAGGACGGGUAAUACCGGAUACCCCCGGGCGCCGCAUGGCACCCGGGCUAAAGCCCCGACGGGAGGGGAUGGCUCCGCGGCCCAUCAGGUAGACGGCGGGGUGACGGCCCACCGUGCCGACAACGGGUAGCCGGGUUGAGAGACCGACCGGCCAGAUUGGGACUGAGACACGGUCCAGACUCCUACGGGAGGCAGCAGUGGGGAAUCUUCCGCAAUGGGCGAAAGCCUGACGGAGCAACGCCGCGUGAGUGAUGACGGCCUUCGGGUUGUAAAACUCUGUGAUCCGGGACGAAAAGGCAGAGUGCGAAGAACAAACUGCAUUGACGGUACCGGAAAAGCAAGCCACGGCUAACUACGUGCCAGCCGCCGCGGUAAUUC